CUGGAGCUGUACCUCCCAGCUAAGAAGGAGCACAGCGCUGGACACUAGGGGGCCAGAGAAACUCUUUUGCAGGGAGCAGCUCGGUGGGGUUGGUACAAGGGCAGCAGCUGCAUCCAAAGACACAGUGACAGGAGAGGAACAAACUGUGAGGAACAUUUGUUGCUCAACCUCCUCCCUUCUGAGUCUCCGGCGAGAGAGCUGGUGGGGUUCAUGCCCAAGCCCGUCUGUCUAGGGAGCGAACAAAUGGGCAACAAGCGGAAGAAACUUUGCAUCUGCCUGGUAGGUGCCUUCGUCCUCAUAUUAGCUGCCAUAUUAAUCGCUCUCACCUGCUAUGUGGUCGAGUGCCAGGGGCAGCUGAAGACCUCAGAUCUGGAUGAGAAACUCGCCAACCUGGAGGAGGAGAAGGGGGCCCUGGAAAAGCAGCGGGAUGGGGCGAGGGCAGAGGUCACGGCUCUGCGGUCAGACCUGGCCGGCACCAAUCAGACCCAUCUGGGAGACGCGCGGGCGCUGGGACUCCUGCAGGAGCCUGACGCAUAACCUGCAGAACAACAUCACUGCCCUGAGCGACAAAAUAACACGGCUGGAAGCCAGAGACUCUGAGCGGGAGGCCAAGGAACAGGGUUUACAAGAUGAAAAUGGCAGGCUCAGAGAGCAGCUCUCCAGCCAGUCCCAGCAGCUGCAGGAUUCCCAGAAAGAAUUCCAGAAGCAAAGAGAUCAGCUCAACGCUAACAUCCAUUGGCUGAAAAUGGAGCUCCAAAGCCAGAGAAAUCAGCGCUCCAGCACGGACAGCCUCAGCGGUCACAGUGUGUCUCUCUGCCUGGCUCUGCCCCUCCUUGGGACUCUUCUCCUUUAA
rnacentral:lncRNA from 1 species